rnacentral:rRNA from 1 species
CGAGGCGAACCGGGGAAACUGAAACAUCUCAGUACCCCGAGAAAAAGAAAUCAACCGAGAUUCCCCCAGUAGCGGCGAGCAAACGGGGAGCAACCCAGAGUCAACAUCAAUAUUUACCACAGGAGAAGGGUCUGGAAAAGCCGGCAAUAAAGGGUGAUAGCCCCGUAUCUAAAGCGGUAAGUGUUGUGAACUCGAAGAGUAGGGCGGGACACGUGUUAUCCUGUCUGAAUAUGGGGGGACCAUCCUCCAAGGCUAAAUACUCCUGACUGACCGAUAGUGAACCAGUACCGUGAGGGAAAGGCGAAAAGAACCCCGGCGAGGGGAGUGAAAUAGAACCUAAAACCGUGUACGUACAAGCAGUAGGAGCACCCGAAAGGGUGUGACUGCGUACCUUUUGUAUAAUGAGUCAGCGACUUAUAUUCUGUAGCAAGGUUAACCGCAUAGGGGAGCCGUAGGGAAACCGAGUCUUAACUGGGCGUUAAGUUGCAGGGUAUAGACCCGAAACCCGGUGAUCUAGCCAUAAGCAGGUUGAAG